rnacentral:rRNA from 1 species
UACACACCGCCCGUCAUACCAUGGGAGUUGAUUGCACCAGAAGUAGGUAGCCUAACCGCAAGGGGGGCGCUUACCACGGUGUGGUCAAUGACUGGGGUG